UCCCGGCUCCGCGGGUUCCGUGGGUCGCCCGCGAAAUCUGAUCCGGGAUGCGGCGGCCCAAUCGGAAGGUGGACCGAAAUCCCGCGACAGCAAGAGGCCCGUAGCGACCCGCGGUGCUAAGGAACACAGUGCUUUCAAAAGAAUUGGCGUCCGCUGUUCGCCUCUCCUCCCGGGAGUCUUCUGCCUACUCCCAGAAGAGGAGGGAAGCACAG
rnacentral:lncRNA from 1 species